AGAGUUUGAUCAUGGCUCAGGAUGAACGCUAGCGGCAGGCUUAACACAUGCAAGUCGAGGGGUAGAGGAAGCUUGCUUCCUUGAGACCGGCGCACGGGUACGUAACGCGUAUGCAAUCUACCUUAUACAGGGGGAUAGCCCAGAGAAAUUUGGAUUAAUACCCCAUAGUAUAAUUGAAUGGCAUCAUUUAAUUAUUAAAGUUCCAACGGUAUAAGAUGAGCAUGCGUCCCAUUAGCUAGUUGGUGUGGUAACGGCACACCAAGGCGACGAUGGGUAGGGGUCCUGAGAGGGAGAUCCCCCACACUGGUACUGAGACACGGACCAGACUCCUACGGGAGGCAGCAGUGAGGAAUAUUGGUCAAUGGGCGCAAGCCUGAACCAGCCAUGCCGCGUGCAGGAUGACGGUCCUAUGGAUUGUAAACUGCUUUUGUACAGGAAGAAACACUCCCUCGUGAGGGAGCUUGACGGUACUGUAAGAAUAAGGAUCGGCUAACUCCGUG
rnacentral:rRNA from 1 species